rnacentral:rRNA from 1 species
CCCGACCGCUAUCGGGGUGGGGCUAAGCCAUGGGAGUCGUACGCUCCGGUCACCGGGGCGUGGCGGACGGCUGAGUAACACGUGGCUAACCUACCCUCGGGACGGGGAUAGUCCCGGGAAACUGGGGCUAAUCCCCGAUAGGUGGAGCGGCCUGGAAGGGUCCUCCACCGAAAGGGUGUCGCGGGGAUGUCCGCGGCGCCGCCCGAGGAUGGGGCCACGGCCCAUCAGGUAGUUGGCGGGGUAACGGCCCGCCAAGCCUAUAACGGGUAGGGGCCGUGAGAGCGGGAGCCCCCAGAUGGGCCCUGAGACAAGGGCCCAGGCCCUACGGGGCGCACCAGGCGCGAAAACUCCGCAAUGCGGGCAACCGUGACGGGGCCACCCCGAGUGCCCCGAAGAGGGGCUUUUCCCCGCUGUAGGAAGGCGGGGGAAUAAGCGGGGGGCAAGUCUGGUGUCAGCCGCCGCGGUAAUACCAGCCCCGCGAGUGGUCGGGACGAUUAUUGGGCCUAAAGCGCCCGUAGCCGGCCCGGUAAGUCCUCCCUUAAAGCCCCGGGCACAACCCGGGGACGGGGAGGAUACUGCCGGGCUAGGGGGCGGGAGAGGCCGAGGGUACUCCCGGGGUAGGGGCGAAAUCCGUUAAUCCCGGGAGGACCACCAGUGGCGAAGGCGCUCGGCUGGAACGCGCCCGACGGUGAGGGGCGAAAGCCGGGGGAGCGAACCGGGUUAGAUACCCGGGUAGUCCCGGCUGUAAACGAUGCGGGCUAGGUGUUGGGCGGGUCCUAGAGCCCGCCCAGUGCCGCAGGGAAGCCGUUAAGCCCGCUGCCUGGGGAGUACGGCCGCAAGGCUGAAACUUAAAGGAAUUGGCGGGGGAGCACCACAAGGGGUGGAGUCUGCGGCUUAAUUGGAGUCAACGCCAGGAAUCUCACCGGGGGCGACAGCAGGAUGACGGCCAGGCUGACGACCUUGCCCGACGCGCUGAGAGGAGGUGCAUGGCCGUCGCCAGCUCGUGUCGUGAGAUGUCCGGUUAAGUCCGGCAACGAGCGAGACCCCCGCCCCCAGUUGCGAUCCGGUCCUCCGGGACCGGAGCACACUG